CAUCCUCCAGAUAAGCUCCAGAAGUUCAAGUGUUCAUUCUGUGUUGCUGAAAUGCCUUCUUCUCCUUCCAAAGUCUGAGUUUCUGGCACUGUAAACUGAUGAGAGGCACAGAAGACUAAAAUUCCCCAGCAGGUAUGACUUUAGAUUCUCUUCCUCUCUCCACUCUGAGUACAAUCCACAGGCCAGAGCCUUGCUUUUCAGCUCUCCAUAGUCCUUGGGUUUUUCUGAGUAAUAACUGGGUGCUCAGGACAAAUACCUGCAUUCUACUUGAAGAUAGAAAAAUUCUGGCUAACUUUCUCUCACUUCUUUGGGCUUGAACAUUUAUUUGUAUUCCAAAUUUGAAGAGAGGAAAAUGCAGUACACUAUAGUUUUAUGUUUUUGUUUUGCUUUUUUAAAUUACAGGUUGAACAUCCCCCAUGGGAAAAUCCACAAUCUAAAGUGCCCCCAAUGGCUGCACCUUUGAUCCAGCUAUCCCACUCCUUGGUCUAUAAACAAAGGACUUAAAAACAGUAUACUACAGGGACACAGCCACAUCAAUGUUUAUAGCAGCAUAAUUGACAAUAGCUAAAUUGUGGAACCAACCUAGAUACACUUCAACAGAUGAAUGGAUAAAGAAAAUGUGGUAUAUAUACACAAUGGAAUAUUACUCGGCAUUAAAAGGGAAUAAAAUCAUGGCAUUUGUCGGUAAAUGGAUGGAGUUGGAGAAUAUAAUGCUAAGUGAAGUAAGCCAAUCCAAAAAAAAAAAAAUGCCAAUUGUUUUCUCUGAUAUAAGGAGGCUGAUUCAUAAUGGGAAUGGGUGGGGGGCAGCAUGGAAGGAUAGACGAACUUUAGAUAGGGUUAAGGGGUGGGAGGGGGCAGGGAGGGGGCAUGGAAAGUAGAAAAGACAGUGGAAUGAGACGGACAUCAUUACCCUAAGUACUUGUAUGAAAACAUGCAUGGUGUGACUCUACUUUGUAUACAACUAGAGACAUGCAAAAUUGUGCUCUAUUUGUGUAAUAUGAAUUGAAUUGCAUUCUGCUGUCAUAUAUAACAAAUUAGAAUAAAUAAAAUAAAAACAUUUUAGUUGUAGAUGAACACACACACACACAAAAUAAAAAUAAAGUGCCCCCAAAUCUAAACUUUUUGAAUGCUCAAAUGACACAAGUAAAAAAUGCCCUACCAGGAAACUUUUUUACAUGUGUGAAAUUAUUAAAGAUAUUCUAUAAAAUCACCUUCCGGUUAUAUGUAUAAGGUUUACAUAAAACAUAAAUGAAUGUCGUGUUUAGAAUGGGGCCCCCAUCCCCAAGAUAUCUCAUUAUGGGUAUGCACACACUCCCCAAUCCGAAAAGAAUCUGAAAUCUGAAAUUCUUCUCUUCCCAUGAAUGUCAGAUAAGGGAUGCUUAACCAGUAUUAUCAAAUUUUUUUUUUUUCAAUUUUGGUGAAAGAUACUUAGUAUAAAAUUGACUAACUCAACCAUUUUUCGGCAUAGAGUUCUACAGUGUUAAGUAAUCACAGUGCUAGGCAGCUGCCACCACCACCAUCUGUAGGAGUUCUUCACCUGCAAAACAAACUACACCCCAUUAAACAAUAACUCCAAUUGCUUCCUCCCCCAGCCCCUGGUAAUCUCUAGUUGGCUUCCUCUCUUUACUCCAGGUACCUCACGUAAGUGGAAUCAUACAUUGUUUGUCUAUUUGUGACUGAUGUACUUCACCAGCACAGAAUGCUCACUGAUUUCGAGAACCUACUCCCAGGGGCCUCUGACGGACAGCACCAGAAUGGGUUGAUUGGACUGUGUUUACAAAUGGAUCACAUCAGGAUUUCCACGUUCCUGAGUAAAUCUGGUCAGAACAAAGGGAUGUGUAAAUAGUGUUCUUACUCUCAAAAGGGAUACUUUUUCUUAAUAGGUUUUCAGAAGAAAUAGUACAGCAUAACUGUUCAUGAGGUGUUCAACGAAUGUCCAUUUAAACAAUGACAAAACCCGGAUUUUAGGCUGGUGCUUUCUUGCCAUUUCUGUGACGAGGAGCACAUCAUCCUGGACCGGAAGGAUUUUGAGUCCCUCGAUGUCAUGGUUUUUUACAUUCCUUCUAAAGCUGAGGGACUCCUCGUUUUCUUUGGCUGGACAACCAUUCUUGUUUGGGUAGAAUGUUGGCAGGAUGGAGUUUGGAGAAAUUCAAAUAUAGAACAAGUACUCAUGCCCCUAAGCACUCGGUCAAUGGCAUCCCUCUUCCUUAUUAAAAUUAAUUAAAGCUAUGAAGAGAGUCUAAAGACUCUGAAUGCUCAGAGUUUGCUGAGUAGAAGCUGAAAUUGUCUGUUUAAGGGAGUCUGCCUUCAUAGCAGGAGUAGCUGACAUUUCUUGAAAGAAUAAACAAAAAUGGACAACAAAUGUAUGAAAAGAUGUUCAACAUCUCUAGCAAUCAAGGAAAUUAAAACUACACUAAGAUUUCAUCUCACUGCAGUCAGAAUGGCAGUUAUCAUGAACACAAAUAAUAACAAAUGUUGGUGAGAAUAUGGGGAAAUUGGCACACCAAUACAUUGUUGGGGGGACAACAAAUCAGUACAACCACUUUGGAAAGCAGUAUGAAGAAUCCUCAAAACAUUUCAAACGGAACCACCAUAUGACCCAACCAUCCAACUCCUUGAUAUUUAUCCAAAAGAAAAAAAAAAUCAGCAUACUAUAGUGAUACAGCCACCUCAGUGUUUAUAGCAACACAAUUCACAAUAGCCAAAUUAUGGAACCAGCCCAGAUGCCUCUCAAUAGAUGAAUGAAUCAAGAAAUAUUAUAAAUACACACACACACACACAUACACACACACAAUGGAAUGUAACUCAGCUAUAAAAAAGAAUGAAAUGAUGGAAUUUGCAGGUAAAUGGAUGGGAAUAGAGAGUAUCAUACUAAGUGAAAUAAGCCAGAUUCAGAAAAUCAAGAGUGGAAUGUUUUCUUUCAUUUGUGGAAGCUAGAGCAAAAUGAGGGAAAGAAAUGUGCUAGGGGCAGAGGUUUGGGAUAUCAAAUAUACAGGGAAGAGCAGUAGAAUAGAAGGAGAUCAAGAGGGAGGGAAGAAGGAUGUAAAAAGGGAGGAAAUAUGGAACAAAUUUUUAAAAAUCAUGUUACAUGUAUAUUUAUGUACCACAUGGAAUUUCACUUUUAUGUAUAUGUAUAAAGUACCAAUCAAAAAUAAACAAAUAAAGGAGCAAAGGAAGAUCAGUAGAGUAGGGGAAGGGAGGGAAAAAGUGGAAAACAGGAAUUGAAAUCAAAUUCUAUGCAUGUAUGAUUUUGUCAAAUGAGCCCAGCUACUAUAUAUAACUAUAAUGCUCUAAUAAAAUGAAAAACUGCUGUAACAGUUUUAUUUUAAUAUGCAUAAAAUACAAAGCUCUGGAAGUGAUAUUCAUUGCUAUUGUAUAAACAUAGGAUGAAAGUUUUUUAAUAAAUGUUUUAUGAAAGUACUGUUUGGGGCUAUGCAAAUAAAACUGUUUGAAA
rnacentral:lncRNA from 1 species